rnacentral:rRNA from 1 species
CAUGCAAGUCGAGCGAGAAAAGGGGAGCAAUCCCCUGAGUACAGCGGCGCACGGGUGAGUAACACGUGGGUAAUCUGCCCUGGAGUGGGGAAUAACACCGGGAAACCGGUGCUAAUACCGCAUACGAUCACAGAGUCUGCGGAUUUUGUGAUGAAAGGAGCAAUUCGCUCUAGGAGGAGCCCGCGGCUGAUUAGCUAGUUGGUGAGGUAAUGGCUCACCAAGGCAACGAUCAGUAUCCGGUCUGAGAGGACGGUCGGACACACUGGAACUGAGACACGGUCCAGACUCCUACGGGAGGCAGCAGUGGGGAAUUUUUGGCAAUGGGGGCAACCCUGACCAAGCAACGCCGCGUGGGUGAUGAAGUCUCUUGGGACGUAAAACCCUUUCGACGGGGACGAAGCCGCAAGGUUGACGGUACCCGUAGAAGAAGCCCCGGCUAACUCCGUGCCAGCAGCCGCGGUAAUACGGGGGGGGCAAGCGUUGUUCGGAAUUACUGGGCGUAAAGGGCGCGUAGGCGGUUCGCUAAGUUGGAUGUGAAAACUCUGGGCUCAACCCAGAGCCUGCAUCCAAAACUGGCGGGCUAGAGUUCUGGAGGGGGUAGCGGAAUUCCUGGUGUAGCGGUGAAAUGCGUAGAUAUCAGGAGGAACACCGGUGGCGAAGGCGGCUACCUGGACAGAAACUGACGCUGAGGCGCGAAAGCUAGGGGAGCAAACAGGAUUAGAUACCCUGGUAG